rnacentral:rRNA from 1 species
UACGUAGGGGGCCAGCGUUGCUCGGAAUUACUGGGCGUAAAGGGUCCGUAGGCGGUGUAGCAAGUCGAUAGUGAAAUCUCUGGGCUUAACCCAGAGGCUGCUAACGAAACUGCUGUGCUAGAGUGUGAGAGAGGCGAGUGGAAUUACGGGUGUAGCGGUGAAAUGCGUAGAUAUCCGUAGGAACAUCCGAGGCGAAGGCGGCUCGCUGGAUCACAACUGACGCUGAGACGCGAAAGCGUGGGGAGCGAACAGG